rnacentral:rRNA from 1 species
UGGGGAAUAUUGGACAAUGGGCGGAAGCCUGAUCCAGCAACGCCGCGUGAGGGAUGACGGCCUUCGGGUUGUAAACCUCUUUCACCAUUGACGAAGCCGCACAGUGUGUGUGGUGACGGUAGGUGGGGAAGAAGCACCGGCCAACUACGUGCCAGCAGCCGCGGUAAUACGUAGGGUGCGAGCGUUGUCCGGAAUUAUUGGGCGUAAAGGGCUCGUAGGCGGUUUGUCGCGUCGGGAGUGAAAACACUGGGCUUAACUCAGUGCUGGCUUUCGAUACGGGCAGACUAGAGGUAUGCAGGGGAGAACGGAAUUCCUGGUGUAGCGGUGAAAUGCGCAGAUAUCAGGAGGAACACCGGUGGCGAAGGCGGUUCUCUGGGCAUUACCUGACGCUGAGGAGCGAAAGUGUGGGGAGCGAACAGG